UACAGAGGUCUCAAGCGUUGUUCGGAUUCAUUGGGCGUAAAGGGCGCGUAGGCUGCGGGGCAAGUCGGGUGUGAAAUCUCAGAGCUCAACUCUGAAACUGCACUCGAUACUGCUUUGCUUGAGGACUGGAGAGGAGAUUGGAAUUCACGGUGUAGCAGUGAAAUGCGUAGAGAUCAUGAGGAAGACCAGUGGCGAAGGCGGGUCUCUGGACAGUUUCCUGACACUGAGACACGAAGGGCUUAGGGGGGAGCAAAACGGGGAUUAGAAAACCCC
rnacentral:rRNA from 1 species